rnacentral:tRNA from 1 species
CUAGAUAUAGUUUAAGAUAAUAAUAUUGGCUUUGGGAGCUAAAGAUACUCAAAUGAGUUUUCUAGA